rnacentral:rRNA from 1 species
UGGAGCAUGUGGUUUAAUUCGAAGCAACGCGAGAACCUUACCAGGUCUUGACAUCCCCUGACAACCCGAGAGAUCGGGCGUUCCCCCUUCGGGGGACAGGGUGACAGGUGGUGCAUGGUUGUCGUCAGCUCGUGUCGUGAGAUGUUGGGUUAAGUCCCGCAACGAGCGCAACCCUCGACCUUAGUUGCCAGCAUUCAGUUGGGCACUCUAAGGUGACUGCCGGCUAAAAGUCGGAGGAAGGUGGGGAUGACGUCAAAUCAUCAUGCCCCUUAUGACCUGGGCUACACACGUGCUACAAUGGGCGGUACAAAGGGUCGCGAACCCGCGAGGGGGAGCCAAUCCCAAAAAGCCGCUCUCAGUUCGGAUUGCAGGCUGCAACUCGCCUGCAUGAAGCCGGAAUCGCUAGUAAUCGCGGAUCAGCAUGCCCGCGGUUCCGAAUACGUUCCGGGCCUU